UCAAAUUACUUAAAAUGUUACUCACUUUUAACACAAUUUAUACACCUUACUAUCAUGGUCAUGUGGUACCUUGUAUGGUACUAGUUCAUAAAUAUCGGGUAUUAUAGCUCGGAUCAUAUUUUAUCCCAAAUUGUCAAAUUUCGACGAAAUUCAUUUUCUUCGAUUUGCUUACCCGUUCACCUUCACAAAUUUACUCAUCACUUGUUCGAAAUAGCAUAAUGCUUAUAAAUUUCAAAAUAAUCUCAUUCCCGAACUUAUGUCGAUUAACUUACGACGAAACUUUAACAUACGAAAAUACGGGAUGUAACACAUUUUAUCAAUAUAUAGCCACCAUCUCUGUCCAAACAUCUUAUUUUAUUUGAUUUCAACCACCUGAAUCACCAUGUCCGUCGAGACUUCCUUCCCACCAAGCCCAUUGACACAGACAAAACAGAUCAGAAAUGACAUUUCACCCCUGCCGCUAUUUUUUUUUCUGAAAAAAGAAGAAGAAAAAAAGAUGAGCAUUGACCAAAUCGGAAAGCUUAUAAAGUGACUUUAACCAUAAACCACAAUCACCCCUUCGUUGACAAAAAAAAUACUCCAAAAAGAAAUACUCCAAACAUUUAAAUGUGAAGAAGAGAACCUUUUUUCCGCCAGAACUUCGUCCAAAAUCAUCCAUCACCAUCGAACCAGAUCGGAGAAAAUAUUGUGGGUUACCUUCUUCUCGCUAAAACUUUAUACUCAAUUAAUUUUUAAAAAGGCUCUUAUUUCAACUAAUUAAAGGUUAAUAAAGAAAAGAAUGAAGAAGCUUGGGAAGGAAAGGUUGGGGCGAGGGAUGGGAUAAGAAACGAAAAGAAUGGGGAAAGGGGUGGGAACAAAGGAGGUGGGAGUAAGUGUUGGGAUCUUAA
rnacentral:lncRNA from 1 species